GUAGGUGUGCGGCCGUGACCAGGUUCUGUUUUCAACAUUUCGCGUGCUAGCGUUUGGUGUGGAAACGUACUGCGAAAUUGCUCAUGUACGUGUAUGUGAACACUGUCACAUUCACGAACCAAGUGUGCGCAUUUUGCCAUCCUUGCCACAUUUAAUAUUGUUGCCAACGUGUGCGGGCGCUCGUUUUCGCAAAUUUUGUAAUGCGAUUCUGUUACGUAUCCCCAGCUGUAUAUUAUGCAUUAUUUAUUUUUAUGUAAACGCUCAAGUCAAAUGAAAAAAAAGGCUACUCGCAAUUUUUUUUUUGAAAAAUGACCCAAGGCUAAUUUCAAUAAUUGGACGUGAAUUGCCUAAAAAAAAUAAUUGGACGUGCAUUUUUUGUUUUAUGUAAACGCUCAAGUUAAAUAAAAAAGGCUACUCGCAAAAAAAAAAUUAAAAAAAGUCCCAACGCUAAUUUCAAUAAUUGGACGUGAAUCUUGUCUCGUUGUUGCCCUUGGAUCAAACUUACAUCAAGGGCCAGGUUUAUUUGCGGCGUUUUAAAAGGUUACUUUCCGAUUCCGCUUUAAAAGGUUAUUUGGAUCAAAACAACAGCUUGUGAGCACUAGUGCGACCGGUGUUGAUCCAGAUCCAGUUAUUUAUCAGGAGUAUAUUGCGGUGUCCGGAACCGAAGGACUGGUAGGAACCCGCGUUCAUCCAAGUUUUUAUGGGGUGCAAAUGCUUUUAAUCAGGUUAUUAUCUUAUUUCUUACGUAAGGAAUGCGUUGAGUUUGUAGUAAUAAAGGUGUAGAGGUGUGUCCAGGAUGACGAAGUUAGGUUUUCAUGGUUGCAUCGACGAGACAACAUAAUGCCUUCAACCUUGUCUCGACAACGCUCCCUUGAUGUCAACGCGAAUCCCGAUGAGGGAGAGAACUAUAGAGCCGUCAGGAGGGUUGUGUGGCAAUGGCACCAGGUCUAAGUUUUGUUCGGGUCCGGUCUGUUUUCCGGUUUGGCUCCGGUCCAAGAUUGGUUCUGCUCGGACCUCGGCCUGGCCAGAGGCCGGAGAAAAAGCUGUACGACUAGGCCUAAAAAUGGGCCCCACCUUUCAGGAAGGAGGGGUUACAGAGAAAAAAAACUUGAAUGGAGUCAUUAGUGGCACAAGUUUUGUUAAAUGGGGUCAAAAAAUGAAAAAUCCAAUGAAUAGGGUUAGAGCUAUAAAAAAAAGUAAAACUUAGGAGUC
rnacentral:lncRNA from 1 species